GAGAGAGGCUCGCAGCAACGAAAACUGCUAAUUUUCGCAAACUUGGUUGAACUCCAAGUCUCACUCG
rnacentral:tRNA from 1 species